rnacentral:rRNA from 1 species
CCUACGGGAGGCAGCAGUGAGGAAUAUUGGUCAAUGGGCGCGAGCCUGAACCAGCCAAGUAGCGUGAAGGAUGACUGCCCUACGGGUUGUAAACUUCUUUUAUAAAGGAAUAAAGUGAGGCACGUGUGCCGUUUUGUAUGUACUUUAUGAAUAAGGAUCGGCUAACUCCGUGCCAGCAGCCGCGGUAAUACGGAGGAUCCGAGCGUUAUCCGGAUUUAUUGGGUUUAAAGGGUGCGUAGGCGGCCUUUUAAGUCAGCUGUGAAAGUCUGUGGCUCAACCAUAGAAUUGCCGUUGAUACUGGUAGGCUUGAGUAUGUUUGAGGCAGGCGGAAUGCGUGGUGUAGCGGUGAAAUGCUUAGAUAUCACGCAGAACCCCGAUUGCGAAGGCAGCCUGCCAAGCCAUGACUGACGCUGAUGCACGAAAGCGUGGGGAUCAAACAGGAUUAGAUACCCUAGUAGUC